AGUGAACGCUGGCGGUAGGCCUAACACAUGCAAGUCGAAUGGCAGCACAGUAAGAGCUUGCUCUUACGGGUGGCGAGUGGCGGACGGGUGAGGAAUACAUCGGAAUCUACUUUUUCGUGGGGGAUAACGUAGGGAAACUUACGCUAAUACCGCAUACGACCUACGGGUGAAAGCAGGGGAUCUUCGGACCUUGCGCGAUUGAAUGAGCCGAUGUCGGAUUAGCUAGUUGGCGGGGUAAAGGCCCACCAAGGCGACCAUCCGUAGCUGGUCUGAGAGGAUGAUCAGCCACACUGGAACUGAGACACGGUCCAGACUCCUACGGGAGGCAGCAGUGGGGAAUAUUGGACAAUGGGCGCAAGCCUGAUCCAGCCAUACCGCGUGGGUGAAGAAGGCCUUCGGGUUGUAAAGCCCUUUUGUUGGGAAAGAAAAGCAGCAGGUUAAUACCCCGCUGUUCUGACGGUACCCAAAGAAUAAGCACCGGCUAACUUCGCG
rnacentral:rRNA from 1 species